rnacentral:rRNA from 1 species
CCUACGGGAGGCAGCAGUGGGGGAUAUUGCACAAUGGGGGAAACCCUGAUGCAGCGACGCCGCGUGGGUGAAGAAGUAUUUCGGUAUGUAAAGCCCUAUCAGCAGGGAAGAAAGAAGACGGUACCUGACUAAGAAGCCCCGACUAACUACGUGCCAGCAGCCGCGGUAAUACGUAGGGGGCGAGCGUUAUCCGGAUUCACUGGGUGUAAAGGGAGCGUAGACGGCCGUGCAAGCCAGGAGUGAAAGCCCGGGGCCCAACCCCGGGACUGAUCUUGGAACUGUGCGGGUGGAGUGCGGGAGGGGGAGGCGGAAUUCCUGGUGUAGCGGUGAAAUGCGUAGAUAUCAGGAGGAACACCGGCGGCGAAGGCGGCCUGCUGGACCGCGACUGACGUUGAGGCUCGAAAGCGUGGGGAGCGAACAGGAUUAGAUACCCCAGUAGUC